ensembl:lncRNA chromosome 22 C14orf180 homolog
GGAUCCCUAACAGAUGGGCAGGGGUGAUGGAAAAAGUCGUUUUUAAUUAGUCUGUCUGAAAUCGACGCUUCCUAACCCACACACCUCUCUACAUUUAGGUUUCACUGGUCACCAGACAGGCGCUUUGCUGGCUCCCAGCAUCAACCAUCUGGUGGACAGCAGAACCCGGGCUACAGGGUGGCUCCCCACUCCAGUGAGCCGACACAUAGCCCAAGGACACAGGCAGUAAGAUGAUUCUGAUGGGUCCUUACUCUAAUCUGGUACCUUUAGGAUCAGGAGUCACACCAGCACACUAAGCAUGUGAAGUUGAGUCAGCCAUACUACAGUGGUUGUGGGUGUGAUAAGGGGAGAUGAAACCUGCGUCUGUGCUGCACAUCACCACUUAACUAAAGGAUCAACCGGCCUUUAAUCAUGAAGAAUCCAACACAACCACCGGGCAGCUGUGGCGACUGACUCCAUCCUUUACAGCAGACACAAAUCCGCCCCCCGCUGCUCCCGGCGCUCAUCGCCUCAAUUUACUGCACCGAAGGAUUGGAGAGAGGCGGCGUGCUAAACACACACUGGUGGAGCUACUGGGGGAGAGCAGCGCAGGGAUUGGCCGAGAGCACCGUCACUCAAGCAUCAAACGCUCUCCGACUUCCUCUGUCCUCCUUUCCUGGCGCAGCCUGGGAGGAGGGAGUGGGAUGGAUCGUUUGUGUGUGAGCCUCCGUAGCUGCUCCUUGCCACCUGUCCUUGACUUACUGUGCACAGACGGGGCUGAAAGGAAGUGCUGCCCACGCCUCUGUGGCAUCUUUCUCUCCAUGUUUGUGUGAGUGGCUGUGGUUUUUAAAUCUGUCACUGUGUGUGCAUGUGCGUGCGUGUGUGUGUGCGUGCGUGCGUGUGUGCCGGUCUUCCUUCUACUUGUGGUGUUUCACUGGAGUGGCGAAGGGAGGAACGCUCGUCCUCGGCCGGCGGAGCUCUGAUGGGAGGCAGCGCCGGCUCUGGUUGGGACUGGGGAUGCUGAACGGGGGGAGGGAGGGCCUGUUUGAGCUGGGACAGCAGCUCCAGCAGCAGGGGGAGUACCAGGCCGCCCUCCACUGCUUCCUCAGCUGCCUGUUGGGACUGACCCAUGUGCAGAGUUUCACCUCUCUGCCCAACUGCCUGCACCAGAUUGCAGAACUCUUCAUCACUGAGAAGAAUUAUGGAAAGGCCCUGCAGUUCAUCCAGGCGGAAAAAAUGUUUUAUGAGGUGGCGCUGAUCGAACUCACAGCUCAUCAGGGGACCACAGGCAAGUACUGAUGCUAGAUAUUAUGCAUGUAUAGUAUAAUAUAGUAAGUAAAAUGUAGCCUGGAGGUAUUAUUUAAAAAUAACAAUAAUAAGAAGAAGUAAUUAUUGCUACUUUACUUACUUUUAGAGAAACGGCAGUUGGAGUUCCUCUAAACUAAUUUAGUCUUUGACUCUGUUUUCCUCAGUGACAAGUCUGUUAUUUUUUCUAAACCUUCAAGACUUAAUUAAAUUUCCUUCCCAGCUUUUAACAGUAGUGAUUGUUAAGAUUCACUGAUAGCUACAGUAUUUCUGUCCAAACUUUCAUAAUAGGUGAUGAAGUAACAUUUAGCCUAUGACACCAGAGUGUAUUUAGUUGAGUCACUGAUCGUCUGAUGACGCGUCCCCUGAUCCAGCGCCGUCUCUGUUUACAACGUACCUGGUGAAGCUUGAAGCCAGCGUUUCCGCUCCAUUCAUCACCUGCUGCCGCGCGGCUCCAGACAUCUGCCCCUCUGUCUGCUGCUGAGGCAGCAGUGCAGCGCCGCGUGGGCCCGGCGGAGGGGAUCGGGCACAGACGUGGCCCAAGACAAAUGGCCCCACUUUGAACUAUCUCAUUAGGAGCAGUGAGUUGCUGUAGAAGUGAGCUCCCUGAUUCAGCACUUACUCAGAUUGAAAACUGGGCUCGUCCGUGAGCAGCGCAGCCUGUGAGCUUCGUGCUCCACAUGUGCCCCUCUCUGUGUAGUCACAUUGAUACUGUUGUGAUGCAAACCAACCUUUAUCGAAUCCCAUUGUUUAAACCUGUUCCACCUACACUACACUGCUGUGAUGGGCUGUGUACAGAGUCCACACAGCACUGUAUGCCGCUUGCCUCGGUGUGUUCCAGUGGGCGUGGUGUUGUUUGACUCCCUUAUCCACUCUCUCCCGUCCUUAUCGCUGCUGUCUUGCCUCUAGUCCUCAGUUGACUCCAGGCUAUUCAGGCUUUAGGUCGGCAGCAGUGCCAGACGGGCUAAUAGCCAGAAACACCAGCUCUCGGCGC